rnacentral:sRNA from 1 species
AUUGCUAGAAUUGUUGGCAACAGUGCAGCAGCAGCGAUGACAGCAGGUAGCGCCCAUUUUGCCAUGUGCAGGCACGGGGUUGUUUUACGUUCAUUCAUUUAACCCAAUGGAGAGUAUCUGUGUUCCAAACAUCAAAAAGGGACAGUAAAAAUACGGUCCUAUAGGACUGCCAUUGUAUACAUGGUCUGUUGUUGACUGAAAGGUCAUUAUGUGACAUGUGACUGUAUUAUCCUUGGCCCCUUUUACAAAUGAGGACACCAUGGCCCAGAGGAGUUUAGGAUGGGCCCCAGGUCAUGUAGCUGGAGAGUGGCAGAGCCAAGGUGUGAAUCCCGCGCCUGGCUCUGGAGCCCUGUUCUCAGCCACCGUGCUGGGCAGCCCACACCUGGCAUCCUCUCUGUUAGGGGCAGGGGACUGCCCCCAUGCCCUCCCUGACAUUGCUAUUCUUGCUAAAAUGAAGAGACAGAGCUGAGGGGAGAGCUAAAAAGAACGAAUCUGGACCGGCAUCAGAAACAUGCUGCUUCCCACCAGCGAGUUUUCUGCUUCACUCUUGGGCCCAGGGCCUGCAGGGUGUGCUGUGACCUCAUCUGAAGAAGCACCCACACGGGCAGGCCCUGAGGGGCUGCAGCAGACCCACCUCGAUGCCUCUCGAGCCCCACCCGGCCCUACUUAUGCCUUCCAUCUGCACCAACACCGAUGAGAAGCUUGCACCUCCCCAGUCUUCCCUGGUUUUGCUCGUAGCUGGCUGGCUGGAUCCCUGCAUGGAUGGCCCUUGGACAACCCUUUGUGCCAGAUGACCUGGCCGCCGUGUAUUGAGAGCGCACACAGACCAGGCGCUGUGCCUGUGGUGUUCCCCCAAUGCAUUCGCAUGGCAGCCCCACUUUACACAGGCGGAAACUGAGGCUGGUUAGGGGAGUGCUCAGCUGCAGGACCUCAUGGCCAGACCCCAGGCAGGUCAGCCUCCAAAGCCCCAGCUCUUACCCACCCCACCGCCCAACUUCUUGCUGGUUUCAGGGGAGGAGCCCACUGUGCCAGGCCCUCACCUCGUGGUGGUACCCAGAGCCCAUGCUGUCUCCCAAGGAGGGCACUGCUCAGCCGCCCUCUCUUUCUGCAGGCCAGAAGCACUUGUGUGUCACCAGCCUCCUGAUCUGCCAGGGUCUGCUCUGGGUGGGCACUGACCAGGGUGUCAUCGUCCUGCUGCCCGUGCCUCGGCUGGAAGGCAUCCCCAAGAUCACAGGGAAAGGCAUGGUCUCACUCAAUGGGCACUGUGGGCCUGUGGCCUUCCUGGCUGUGGCUACCAGCAUCCUGGCCCCUGACAUCCUGCGGAGUGACCAGGAGGAGGCUGAGGGGCCCCGGGCUGAGGAGGACAAGCCAGACGGGCAGGCACACGAGCCCAUGCCCGACAGCCACGUGGGCCGAGAGCUGACCCGCAAGAAGGGCAUCCUCUUGCAGUACCGCCUGCGCUCCACCGCACACCUCCCGGGCCCGCUGCUCUCCAUGCGGGAGCCGGCGCCUGCUGAUGGCGCCGCUCUGGAGCACAGCGAGGAGGACGGCUCCAUUUAUGAGAUGGCCGACGACCCCGACGUCUGGGUGCGCAGCCGGCCCUGCGCCCGCGACGCCCACCGCAAGGAGAUUUGCUCUGUGGCCAUCAUCUCCGGCGGGCAGGGCUACCGCAACUUUGGCAGCGCUCUGGGCAGCAGUGGGAGGCAGGCCCCGUGUGGGGAGACGGACAGCACCCUCCUCAUCUGGCAGGUGCCCUUGAUGCUAUAGCGCCUCCCCUCUCCCCUCAGAGGGCACAGCUGCAGGCCUGACCAAGGCCACGCCCGGCUCUCGUGCUCUAGGACCUGCACGGGACGUGUGGAUGGGCCUGGACUCUCCAGAAACUACUUGGGCAGAGCAAAGGAAAACCUCUUGUUUUAAAAAAAUUUUUUUCAGAGUGUUUUGGGGAGGAGUUUUAGGGCUUGGGGAGAGGCAGGACACAUCUGGAGGAAAUGGCCUUCUUUUUAAAAGCAAAAAACACAAAACCUCACAACUGCCUGGCAAGCCCAGUAUCACUUGUUUGGGCCCUAGCGGGACUCCAAGGCAGCCACACGCCCCUCCUGGAAGGGUGUGUGGGUGUGAGUGUGUGCGAGUGUGUGGGCUGGUGUGUGAAUAUCUAUAAAUACGUAUAUAUGGUGUAUAUUAUAUGUGUAUAAAUAAAGUCUGUACAUAUUGGAGCUCUGGGAGAUGCUGGAAUAAAAGACAAGAGUUACAUCUGGACUUGG